rnacentral:rRNA from 1 species
UACGUAGGUGGCGAGCGUUGUCCGGAUUUACUGGGCGUAAAGCGUGCGCAGGCGGCGCGUUAAGACAGGUGUGAAAGCCCCGAGCUUAACUUGGGAAUUGCGCUUGUGACUGGCGUGCUGGAGUGUGGCAGAGGGAGGUGGAAUUCCACGUGUAGCAGUGAAAUGCGUAGAGAUGUGGAGGAACACCGAUGGCGAAGGCAGCCUCCUGGGCCAGCACUGACGCUCAUGCACGAAAGCGUGGGGAGCAAACAGG